rnacentral:rRNA from 1 species
GACGUAGGGUCCGAGCGUUGUCCGGAAUUACUGGGCGUAAAGGGCGCGCAGGCGGCUCUGAAAGUCAGAUGUGAAAGCCCCGGGCUUAACCUGGGAACUGCAUUUGAUACUCUAGAGCUUGAGUACGGGAGAGGAGAGUGGAAUUCCCAGUGUAGAGGUGAAAUUCGUAGAUAUUGGGAAGAACACCGGUGGCGAAGGCGGCUCUCUGGACCGUAACUGACGCUGAGGCGCGAAAGCGUGGGGAGCAAACAGG